rnacentral:lncRNA from 1 species
GGGGCUGCGGAGGGGCUGAAGAGGCGGCGACGUCCUGGCGGCCAUCUUGGGUGUGGGCAGACAUCUUGGGUGUGGGCGGGUCCGCCGGCGGGACAGGGUGCGUGCCGCCAUCUUUGUUACGGGCAAUCCAUCUCCGCGUCGCGAGCCGUGCUUGCCGGCAGCCGGUUGAGGUCGUUUCAGCGGUCGCAUCCACUGAAAAGUUGUUGUAGUUUAACUCGUAGAUGUUGAGCAGUCAUUGCAUUGCCAGCAGCGGCUAAAUAAAGAGCAUAACGUGCUGUUCCUGGGCCAGGCUCUAAAAAGCAAACUCGGUCUGAGGCAGGAUCAGUGCCCGCGGAGAGGGAGUCACGUACAGAAGGAGCCCCCCUAAUUUUGCUCAGGAGACUCUUGCAACUCUUAAAAACCGAACCCUAACAGUACUGGGGACAAGAGCAUGCGGCAGAGCUUUCCGAACCUUGAGACUCGUCACUUGUCUCUUUGUUACCGCAUCGACCACCUCAUUUCUAUGUCCUCCAUUUGGCGGUCCUUUGUGCUCGAGCUCUCAGAUUUUGCUUUUUAACCUUUCCUGGAAGCCCUGGAGAUCCCCUCGGCCACAGAAAUCUCACAGUAACACCAGGCUGUGCAAGACAGCUGGAUGGGGCCAUGAUAGAAGCAAAAUUAUUGACAUGCAGCAGUAUUUGGAUCUGUAGUUUUAACUGAUACCUAACAUAGUAUUGCUCCACAGUCUCAAUUACAUGAGCCCCAGGUGAGGAAAAACAUAUAAGCACACAAGAGUCAAAAUUGAUGCAUGUACUUAAGAGCUUUGUGUUAUUGACCUUUGUCUAUAACUCUUCCCUUAGUAAUAAUAGUGUGAAAAAAAUGGUUCUUUAAGACCUGAAUGUCUACAUUACUCCAAAAGGAUUUGUCUGUAAAAUACCCUGCUUGCUCUCAACUUUGUCCUCACUGAGGAAUAGAGCCUUUUAUACAUUUGAAGAGAGACACAUCAAUGGAAGUUACAAUCACUCAAAAGCAUUGUCACGGUGCUUCAUUUUUAUUAUUGCUCACAGUAACUGGUAAUUGUUAUCUCUGAGUGGCAGAGGAAAAUACCAGCACAUGGGAGAUGCAACUAACAGCCCAACAACCAAAUCUUUUGUGCAAACUGUAGCUUUAGCUGAGGGAGGAAGUUGUUUUGUUGUAUUGUGGCAUUGAGAAAACGUAUUUUCCAAAUAUUCCUGCCAAGAGAUCCCUCUGCAAUCAUACCAAGGAAUUACUGCACCUCGGUGAUAGCACAGAGCAAGCUACGAUUGGUUCAGCUCCUGCAGCUCUCCCAUAGUAUCCAUGUAAAAAGACAGCAAGUGAAACAUACAGCUAGCUUAACGAGUCCUGUGUGGCUAGGAGACUCAAUUAAAAUUAAAUUAUACAACAAAUUAGGUUUUAAAUGCUGCACUGCUUAGCCAGCCAGACAAAUAAUAAUUAGAGACAUACUGAUCUGCUAUGUGCAGUUGACUGCUGUAUCUGCUCUCUGUGCAUGCUCACCACACUUCCCUCCCAGCUCAGGGUACUUUUGUACCACGUUCUAAGUAACCUAUCUCUCAACAGCUCCAUUUUGUACUUGUCACCCUCCUGAGCUGGGCAGAAUGGACAGGAUCUCUUUCUAGAGACCACCUUUCCCAUCUGCUCCCUCAGUUAAUGUUUGUUCAGCAAUUUACCUCCCCCUCCUCUUUGUUCCUAGACUCCAGCUCGUUCUAGAUGGAAUUGGUUUUCAGACUCUGAACUGUGUAGGCACACAUAUGUCAGGAGAAAAAUAGGCUACAAAUAUUACUUCUUUUUUUUCCCCUACAUGUAGUGAUACACAUACCAGCAGUUUGAAAAUACCCCGUGGUGGAUCGUGGGGUACCAGCUACAAACUGUCACCUCUGAUACUGGUUCUAGCAAAAGAAAUUUAGGACAUCCUUACAAAGUGCAAUAUAAAAAUGAGCUCAGUUGAAAAGGACCUGAAAACAGCUACUCAAAUCCUACUGUAAAUGUUCAAAUGCAUUUGUAUUACAUUAAUGUUUGAAGCUCUCUAUCACCCUAUUACAGAUAACAUUCAGAGAGACUGGUGCUAUUUAAUUUUCUUCUCAAUUUUUUUUCACCUUUUGGAGAAAGUAAUAUCAAAAUCUUAAUAUCAGAUCUGGCAAAAACAAUUUGAAAAAUAUAUUUCAUGAUUAAACGAAUGUGUUCUGCAUGUAUUUAAAAUCAUCCUAAGCCAGCAAGAGUAAUGUUAUCCCACAGUCAUCUUCAGCUAGGGUUUCUGACCACUGGCUGCUUGUCUGUGGGUAAGGAAAAAGCAAUUUUGUAGUGCAAAAGAAAACAUACCAGGGACAGGCUUUUACUCAAGCAUUUUUCCAAAUACUGAUAGCCCAGUCCUGCAGAUAAUCUAUGUUCCUGCUAUACUGUAAAUGAGAAUACACUAUGAACAUGAAGGGUUUCCCAAGUCAAGCAGCCAGCCCCAGAUUUGUUCCUUAUUGUGUGGUAGAGAAAGGGAGGCAGCCAGAGAUAUCACUUGAAAAGGAAAGAAGAAAAGUGUGUCACUUGUGUCCUCUUUUUUGUGCUGUUAAUCCAGACAUCCAUGACUGACCACUGCUAGUGUUUGGGACCUUUUCAGAGUGGGGAAAACCAGCAUGGAAUUACCCAUAACAAGUUUAAGCAGCAAUAAGUUUAACUACCUCCAAAGGAAGGACUCCCUGGUUAAUUCAGAGGACCUUCCAGGAAGACAAACAAAACCAACCCACCAAAAUCAUGCACGGGGGAGCUAAUGAAGCAGUGCAGUUCCCAGGGAGA